AUCUGUACAGUUCUGUCUAAUUCCCACUACUAAUAUCCUCUGUCUUCACAAUUACAAGAUUAAAAACUUAUUGGCAGAUUCAGUCUGUUAGUCACACUAUAUUUAAAAAUACUUUGUAACAGAUAGGAAGGGGAAGCCACCUAAUUACAAUGAGACUAUAGGGGACCUCAGUGUCCCCUUCUUACAUAGAAAUACAUUGAAAUUAACUGCUGGAGGAACAGUGCAUGACAGCUUUGAGCCCAGUGUAAAGGAGCUAAGCACGGCAGACUGCAGGGACAAAAUGUGAAUAUAGUGGGCUACAAAAUACACCAGUUUCUAAUCCUAUGGGUGCCUCCACCGAAACAUAAGCAUCCUUCUGACCACUCCUGAAAAGACGUAACAUGUGCUGCUGAACAUACUUGUCAAAUGUUUUUUUCAUACACAAAGCAGGUUACCUGCAUUAUGCACAUUUAAUGACCCUUCAGUGGUUUAUAGGUGGUCUUCUACUCCAGUCCAAUGCCUCUUGCAGACCACUGCUUUCCCGCAACAUCUCCUCAGCACUGGAAGGGAUACAAGUGCUCUGCAAAAUAUUUUUCCCCUCCUGCUCUCAUGUCUGAGUCCAAGAAGAAUGGUAUCAGGACAUCACAGAGCAACAUAACAGCAGCAGUAUAACAGUUAUGAACAAUGGCAUUAACUCAAACCAAGCAUCUACUAGUGUGAACCCUGUAUUCAGGGUGACUUUUCAUCUCAGUAUUUUUUCCAGUCUGAGUAUUUGCCAGCAUUCAUAGCUACAGGAAAAACAAUUGACUGUGUUUUAGAAAAACAAAAGCUUAUAGAUGUUUACAUUUCAAUUAAUGUUGGCUUGUUCAUGCAUGAAUAUAUCCUGGAGAACGUAAUUGUUACUCCCUAAUUCUAUUUCCUCCUCCAAAUAAAUUCAGUUCGAUAUUUCCUCCCGGCUAUGCUUGAAAUUGGAGACUUUUCUUCUUGUUACAAACCGUAAUGCCAUCUUUUUCUGAGAGGAAAUUGGUCUGAAGGUUUCAACAAUUAUGUAUGUUAGAAUGUAGGCUAAAGGCCUGAUUGUUUGGAAGUGCCUACAAUAUGCUUAAGAAAUCUGACACUAUUCAUGGUGCAAAGCUGUAUUCAUGGCAGCAAAGAACAGGGAUUCAAUUAUACUUGCUCUCCCACAAACUGUUUUCUAACCUUUUUAGUGCUGUCUCCCUUAAAUGCCAAGCGGGUUGAAGAAUUUUUAAAAAAUAAAAAGUUAUUAGCUCAGAAAUGAUGACCAGCACAGCACAGUCCUACACAAGGCAAAAGGGCAGGCAUUUCCUGAGUCGCACACUGAUUGAGGAUGGGAGAAACUUCAGUUUUAGGAAGCAUUAUCCUGGAAUUGCAUUGUCCCAUCUCUUUCACACCAACAUACACAAUAAAAUGAGAAGUUUUCAAGGUCGAGUGACCAAGUAUCUAUGACUAAUUUAAGAUCGACCAUCCACUCUUCUGUCAACUCAGAUUCCAGAGGAGAGCUCACUCUUUACUGGUCCAAACUCUAAUGGCCCUCCUAAGUUUGCACUCUAGUACAUUAUUUGAGAGGAUGCAUAAUUAGGUGCCUUGUAUGAUCCAGCCACAUGAUCCUACUUGGAUGGUUUUCCACAGGUAUUGUCAUAAAGCAUUUUAACAGACUUUUUCCUUCUGUUUUCAAGAGGAAAGGAUUAAAAAAAGAGAGGAAUGUUUUGAAGUUUCUUAGAUGGUAUCAAAUGUUCCUACCAGAAAAAGGGGUCAGUAUCAGUUGUUUUUUCAUUAGAUUUGGGUUGGGUUUAUUUUGUUAAUGGGGGGGGGGGGGAAGAGGUGGUGAUUAGGGAGGGAAGGUGGGAAUAACAAAGGUAGGAGAAGAAUGUCCUUUUUUCUGCAGCUGCUUGCAGCUAAGGCGUUUGAAGGAUCCCUGCAAAAAUAACCGCCUGUUUCUGAAACUCAGCUUUAGCUUUUUGGGCUAUUGCUGGUGGAAAGCAUGGAUGAGGAGGCUGUAUCUGGGUGAAGCAAAUACUCUUCAGAGCUCUGACUGUUUAGAACUCCUCUCUAGUAUGCCAAACUGGUCAACAUGCACAAAGAGCAUAAGUAUAUAUUUUUUUGGAACAAAACCCCAACAAAACAAACCCAUAGUGAAAGCAGAGUGAUGUACAGUCAGGAACUAAAGAUCACAUUUCAGCUGUUGCUUUGGAGAAGACUGUGGUACAUCACUUGAUUUCCUGGCCUUGUUUGAUACCAGUUUAUUUGAGAAUUAUGGUGAUCGGGAAGGGGAAAUUUCACCAGAGUGCUGAUAAAUCACUGGCAAAAGGUAGAGAUGGUUAAGAAGUAUUUACGGUAACUUUUCUUGCUGUAAGAAGUUGCAGCUCACACAUACUGACUUUUUAGUAAACAAUUCAUGCAGCUUUUCAUUUAUAACACUUACUACGACUGCAGGGAAUACAGAAUUCUGCAAAAUGGCUCUAGAAAAUUCUGCCAAAUCUUGGUACUUUCAAAAAUUAAACAGGGCAGUAAAGUGCUCAAUCUUAACAACCUCCAGUAUAUUUUCAUUUUUUGAAAUAAAACUGCUAAUGAAAGGUUUUGGGUUUUUUUCUACAUGAUCUCUUUUUCCUCCUCCACUGCAAGCUCAGACAUUAAAUUUUUGGAAAAUACUGAGCAAUACUUGG
rnacentral:lncRNA from 1 species